rnacentral:rRNA from 1 species
UACGUAGGGACCUAGCGUUGUCCGGAAUCAUUGGGCGUAAAGCGCGCGUAGGCGGCCCGGUAAGUCCGUUGUGAAAGUCGAAGGCUCAACCUUCGAAAGCCGAUGGAUACUGCCGGGCUAGAGUACGGAAGAGGCGAGUAGAAUUCCUGGUGUAGCGGUGGAAUGCGCAGAUAUCAGGAAGAACACCUAUGGCGAAGGCAGCUAUCUGGGACGGUACUGACGCUGAGGAGCGAAAGCUAGGGGAGCAAACGGG